AGAAAAACAGGCGGCGUAGCAGGUGGGCAGCACGUUGCCAUGAUGUGCCGUGGCCCGGCCGUGGCUGGCGUGAUCCCACCAGAGUGAGCUGGAGCAGAUCUGCACCAUGGGCCAAGUUUCUCAGAAAAUACAUGGCUUCCUGCGGGCUGCAGCCUAAUGCCCACGUUCCUCUCGGGGCAGACCGAAGGUUAUUCAACCAGGGCAAAGGACAGCCUUGCAAACCAACUACGUCCUCCUUCUGGAGUUUGUGUGACCCCUGGCCCCUGAGCCCACACCCUCUCGGAGCGGGGUUCCAACUCCGUGGAAGCUCUGCUGAGAUGCAGGUCCCUCCCUCGACACCUGGGGAUUACAAUUAGAGAUGCGAUUUGGAUGGGGACACCGAGAGAAACCAUGACAGGGGCUCUCCAGAGAAGCAGCCCAGCCUUGGGCAACUUAGUUCUCCCAUCUGACCAUCCAACCCAAUAAGGCUGCUGACUCACAUAGGACCAGGACAUAGCAUUCAUUCCUUCUGGAGGAUACAGCAAAAAGAUACCAUCUCAGAAACAGAGAGCAGCCCAUAGCAGACACCAAACCUGCCUUGAUCUUGGACUUCCCAGUCUUCAGAACUUUUCCUUCUCUGCGGCAGAGUGAGAGCAACAGAAAACCCUCCACUGUUAGCUGUUAGCAGAUGCCUCUCAGUGUUCUCUGCUGCUUGGAGGAGUGACCCAUACACUUGUGUCCAGUGAGUGCUGCACCAUGUUGGCCUCUUAAGGAAGCGCUUCGCUUCAGUGCUGUCCAGGACUUCCCACUUUCCUUUACAAGAACUGCGAUUACAUCAGUGGCCCCCGUUAGGGGACUGGGCUACUGUAAUGUGUUUUAAAAAUUAGGUGCCAAGAACAUGUACAAGAAUGUUCACAGCAGCAUUACUCUUAAGAGCCAAGGUGGAAACAAUGCAAACAUCUUUUUUUUUUUUUUUUUCUGAGACAGGGUCUGGCUCUGUCGCCCAGGCUGGAGUGCAGUGGCGCGAUCUCAGCUCACUGCAACCUCCGCCUCCUGGGUUCAAGCAAUUCUCCUGCCUCAGCCUCCCGAGUAGCUCGGACUACAGGCACCCGCCACCAUGCCCAGCUAAUUUUGUAUUUUUAGCAGAGACAGUUUCACCAUGUUGGCCAGGCUGGUCUCAAACUCCUGACCUCAGGUGAUCCACCCACCUCAGCCUCCCAAAGUGCUGGGACUACAGGUGUGAGCCACUGCACCUGGCCUGAAACAAUGCAAACAUCAACUAAUCAAUGGAUAAAAAAAAAUACAUCCACACAAUGGACUAUUACUCUACAAUGAAAAGGAAUACAUUUCUGAUACAUGCUACAACCUGAAUGAACCUUGAAAACAUUAUGUGAAAGAAUCCAGAGCCACAAAAGGUGACACAUUAUGUGAUUCCAUUUAUUGGAAGUGUCCAGAAUAGACAAAUCCAUAAAGACAGAAAGUUUCAUGGGAAUGAAAGGAGUUGGGGUGAAUGGGGGUACAUUUUAAUUUUUUUGAGCUGGAGUCUCACUCUGUUGUCCAGGCUGGAGUGCAGUGGUGCAAUCUUGGCUCACUGCAACUUUCACCUCCUGGGUCAAGUGAUUCUCCUGCCUCAGCCUCCUAAGUAGCUGCAAUUAUAGGUGUGCACCACCACACCCAGCUAAUUUUUGUAUUUUUAUUAGAGACAGGGUUUUGCUGUAUUGGCCAGCAUGGUCUUGAACUCCUGACCUCAAGUGAUCAGCCUGCCUCGGCCUCCCGAAGUGCUGCGAUUACAGGCAUGAGCCACCACACCCGGCCAGGGGGUACACUUUAAAUGGCUGAAUUGAAUGAAGUGUGUUAUAUCUCAAUAAAGCUGUUUUUAAAAAAAGUUAAGAUGCCAGGUUUCUGACCCCACAGUGGCAGGCAACGACCCUGUUCUGUGAGCAUCCGGGAUUAUUUUUGGUAUGGCAGCUGCCCAGGAUUUUUGUGCAGAGCCUUCAUACCUGUCACUGAUGGAGGCUCUCCGAAGUUCAAGCCAAAGCUGGGAUCCGCCUACAAACUGUUUUACAGUUUUCCUUCUUCUCCAAGGUGCAGUGAAAGCGAAGGAACGCUGCUGGACAUGGUGAGACAUGGAGGACUUUGUAAGGGAUAACCUUUGGUUCCCUGAUUUUUUGACAUGAAUCUAACGCUCUGCACCUUCCUCCUUCUUCUUGACAGUGACAUUCAUAAAGGCCAGAAGCUCGGUGUUUUUGUUUCUGUUGUCUGUAUUCUGUAUUCUGUUCCACUAGUCCAUCUGUCCAUCCUUGUACCAAUACUUCACUGUCUUCACAUUACAGUAACUUUUUAGUCUUGGUUCCUGGUAGGAUAAGUCGGAGGUUUGUUGUUCUUCAAGAUCACCUUGGAUAUUCUAGGUCCUUUACAUUUCCAUAUAACAUUUUAGAAACAGCUUGCCAUUUUUCCACCCACAAAAACCAUGCUGGGAUUUGGUUGAGAUGACUUUGACACCACACAUCAGUUUGGGAAGAACCAACAACUUUAUAAUACUGAGUCUUCCAAUGCAUAUACAUAGUAUAUCCCUCCAUUUAGUUACAUUUUGUUAGACUUAUUUCUAAGUAUUUGAUGCUUUUUGAUGCUAUCAUAAAUUAUAUUGUUUUGGCAAUUUCAUUUUCUAUUUGUAGCUGUUAGGUAUAAAUACAGUUUAUUUUUCUGUGUUCACCUGAUACUCAGUGACCUUGCUAAACUAACUUAUUAAUUCUAAUGGUUUAUACAUUUAAAAAUUUACUGUAUAU
rnacentral:lncRNA from 1 species